ACGGAAGCUGCACCUCUGUCCUCGGCGCCGAGUAGGGCCACUUUUACAGAGUCUUGGAGGUUUUUAGUGAACCUCUCUCAAGGAGGACAUUGUCCCCAGAGAAGAAGUACGGCAGUGGAGAAACCUGACAAACACCACCACAGCCAAAUGAUCAAAGGUUACCAUCAACAGCAAUAAGCCAUGUUGAAAACUUCCCUGGUGGCGCAGGGGUUAAGAAUCUGCCUGCCAAUGCAGGGGACAUGG